rnacentral:misc_RNA from 1 species
GAUGAAGAACGCAGCGAAAUGCGAUACGUAGUGUGAAUUGCAGAAUUCAGUGAAUCAUCGAAUCUUUGAACGCACAUUGCACCUCUCGGUAUUCCGGGAGGUAUGCCUGUUCGAGCGUCAUUUGUACCCUCAAGCUCUGCUUGGUGUUGGGUGUUUGUUCCGCCUCUGUGUGUGAACUCGCCUCAAAACAAUUGGCAGCCGGCGUACUUGUUUCGGAGCGCAGCACAUUUUGCGAUCCAGAUCAACGUACAGCAGCAUCCAAGAAGCCUUAUUUAACGCUCUUGACCUCGGAUCAGGUAGGGAUACCCGCUGAACUUAAGCAUAUCAAUAAGCGGAGGA